UACGUAGGCAGCGAGCGUUGUUCGGAGUUACUGGGCGUAAAGCGUGCGCAGGCGGUUCGUUGUGUCGGCGGUGAAAGCCCCGGGCUUAACCUGGGAAUGGCCGUUGAAACUGGCGAACUGGAGUGUGGCAGAGGGGGGUGGAAUUCCGCGUGUAGCAGUGAAAUGCGUAGAGAUGCGGAGGAACACCAAUGGCGAAGGCAGCCCCCUGGGCUAACACUGACGCUCAGGCACGAAAGCGUGGGGAGCAAACAGG
rnacentral:rRNA from 1 species